GACGAACGCUGGCGGCGUGCCUAAUACAUGCAAGUAGAACGCACAGUUUAUACCGUAGCUUGCUCCACCAUAGACUGUGAGUUGCGAACGGGUGAGUAACGCGUAGGUAACCUGCCUGGUAGCGGGGGAUAACUAUUGGAAACGAUAGCUAAUACCGCAUAAUAUUGAUUAUUGCAUGAUAAUUGAUUGAAAGAUGCUAUUGCAUCACUACCAGAUGGACCUGCGUUGUAUUAGCUAGUAGGUGAGGUAACGGCUCACCUAGGCGACGAUACAUAGCCGACCUGAGAGGGUGAUCGGCUACACUGGGACUGAGACACGGCCCAGACUCCUACGGGAGGCAGCAGUAGGGAAUCUUCGGCAAUGGACGAAAGUCUGACCGAGCAACGCCGCGUGAGUGAAGAAGGUUUUCGGAUCGUAAAGCUCUGUUGUAAGAGAAGAACGGGUGUGAGAGUGGAAAGUUCACACUGUGACGGUAUCUUACCAGAAAGGGACGGCUAACUACGUG
rnacentral:rRNA from 1 species